CAGCCGCCACGGUAAUACGGAGGGGGCUAGCGUUGUUCGGAAUUACUGGGCGUAAAGCGCACGUAGGCGGCUUGGUAAGUUAGAGGUGAAAGCCUGGAGCUCAACUCCAGAAUUGCCUUUAAGACUGCCGAGCUAGCAGGUGAGAGAGGUAAGUGGAAUUCCGAGUGUAGAGGUGAAAUUCGUAGAUAUUCGGAAGAACACCAGUGGCGAAGGCGGCUUACUGGCUCAUACUGGACGCUGAGGUGCGAAAGCGUGGGGAGCAAACAGGAUUAGAGACCCGCGUAGUCCCUGUCUCUUAUAA
rnacentral:rRNA from 1 species